GCAAGUCGAACGCAUCCUUCGGGGUGAGUGGCAGACGGGUGAGUAACGCGUGGGAAUCUACCCAUCCCUACGGGAUAGCUCCGGGAAACUGGAGAUAAUACCGUAUACGUCCUCCGGGAGAAAGAUUUAUCGGGGAUGGAUGAGCCCGCGUUGGAUUAGCUAGUUGGUGGGGUAAUGGCCUACCAAGGCGACGAUCCAUAGCUGGUCUAAGAGGAUGAUCAGCCACAUUGGGACUGAGACACGGCCCAAACUCCUACGGGAGGCAGCAGUGGGGAAUAUUGGACAAUGGGCGCAAGCCUGAUCCAGCCAUGCCGCGUGAGUGAUGAAGGCCCUAGGGUUGUAAAGCUCUUUCAGUGGGGACGAUAAUGACGGUACCCACAGAAGAAGCCCCGGCUAACUUCGUGCCAGCAGCCGCGGUAAUACGAAGGGGGCUAGCGUUGUUCGGAAUUACUGGGCGUAAAGCGCACGUAGGCGGACAUUUAAGUCAGGGGUGAAAUCCCGGGGCUCAACCCCGGAACUGCCUCUGAUACUGGGUGUCUUGAGUGUGGU
rnacentral:rRNA from 1 species